AAGGACUGCUCCAGCAGAAGAUGUCAUUAUGUUCUUGAAGCCCAGCUCACCUGGAGGCAUUUUCUUCAGCAAGUUCAAUUCACCUGGCACCCUGGAGCGUGCGCUGGAAUGGAACCGGUUCAGCUCCAUGGAUGUGGGUGCAGCAACCUGAAGGCACAUCGGUUUGGGAGUUGUUAAGGGAGACCUAAAUAUUUACAUCAAAGUCUGUGAAGGAAGGAGCCUSUUCGGGAGGACAGCGGUUUCGGACCCGGUGGAGGAAGCCGUCAGUGAUACGGAGGCCGUGGCUGAGCAGCACGGAAACCACCGCUGCGGAUGCAUGAAACAGGUAGCAGAAUAUGUGUGCCUGCUGAAGGGACUCCUUCGGUGGCUGCAGGCACGGCUCGUGCACGUCCCCUGCCCGACUUUGCGGUUCCAGGUGCGAGCUAUGCGGUAGCGAGCCACCCGUGCAGCUACGCAGCACCGCCUUGACGUCGACACCUUGACGGCAAACCACCUCCGUGGCAGGGCYGUGUGGCUGCUCUCGGCGUACCUGUCUCUCUGGAGGCACCGCAASAAACUUGGGCAGAAGAGAGAUGGGCCAUUCGUCCAGCUUGUGAAGGAAGCAGGGGAUCUGAUACCGGCUGCUGAUUUUAACUAGCCUAUUUCAUGGUGUGUUAACUCUCAGACUAAACUGCUUGAAUAGCUAGUUACCCACAUAGUGUAAUUUAUAUGUGACCUUCAUGAUCACAGUGUCUGCAAACGCACAAAGGUUAAUGAAUUCUGUCUUUUCACACCAGUACGAAGUACUGAAGCAGUAAUCUCUUGCURCAGCUGGAAAAAGAGGGCACAUGUCAUGUCCACCAUUUUAUCGUCUGAGAUUGAGGUGUGAACUAAAAACAGGUCUCCUGAGCCAAGUUCAGUGCUGAAGCAACGAGGUCGUUCUUCCUCUCGCUAGACCAUCCACCAGAUGAAUUGCAAUGUACACUUUAAAAUCAUAUUCAGCUUGUUUAGGCCAGAAUCCAAAUUUUACAAAAUUUGCCUUUGUUGCUCUGACACCAGCUCUCAUA
ensembl:lncRNA